AUACUUACCUGGACGGGGUUGAUGGGUGAUCAGUAAGAUCCAUGGCCUAGGUUGGUGGCUUUCAUUGCACUCAGAAGGUGCACCUGCCUAACGUCUCCCCGAGUGGGAGAGCCUACGUCAUUAUUUGUUUACAAGUUAAUGUUUCUGUUAUUUAAUC